UACGUAGGGUGCGAGCGUUAAUCGGAAUUACUGGGCGUAAAGCGUGCGUAGGCGGUUGGCAAAGUCGGAUGUGAAAUCCCUCGGCUUAACCAAGGAAGUGCAUCCGAAACUGCAGUGCUUGAGUACUUAAGAGGAUCGCGGAAUUCCCGGUGUAGAGGUGAAAUUCGUAGAUAUCGGGAGGAACACCGAUGGCGAAGGCAGCUUUCUGGCCUAAGACUGACGCUGAGGUGCGAAAGCGUGGGGAGCGAACGGG
rnacentral:rRNA from 1 species